ensembl:lncRNA
UCAAGCCAAUGAUGAAGAAAUUUGUUGUACAGCAGGUCCAGACUUGGGCAAGUAUUCGUAGGCACGUAUCCCCCCUCGUCAUUGCUUGGGGCGGGCGUUUGGACCAGCAGCGGAGAGUCUAUUGCGAAUUUUGGUAAACUGUAAAAGCAGGUAAUGACCUUUAUUGUUAAAAGGCGUGUUCCCCAUCAAGUCUGUGCUAGAGCUGGUGUGAGGUUGUUUACAUUUAUUCUCCGUGCUUUCUAUUACAGUUAUGCCUCUAUGCAGCCCUGUGUUAUUAAAUUUCUGGUUCCUUGCAGGAAUUUAUGGCUGUGACCAGUGUCCGCAUUUAACUUCACUAUGAUAAAACAGACUUCGUUCCCCAAAACCUUUCGGUGAGGUUUGUUUUCCAGCCUUUUAAUUUCUCUUUUGCUUCUUCCUUGAGCCUUCUCCAAAGUAUCAACAACCUCCUUGAACAGCGUGCUCCUGUACAAAUCUUCCCACCGCCAAAAAUAUAAAGGUAAGACUAAAGCCCUUGAACCUUUCUGAGAGUCACCCAGCUUUAUCACUCAGCUGACUAUUCCCCGUAAACCUCAGCUCAUUUUCGGAGCUGCUGAAAUCCUCUCUGCUGUAAGUAAUGGCCUCUAUUAGUUGCUCCUCGCUGAAUUGCUCUACAGUAUGGCUGCUCACUUUCUGUUUCUUUUUUGUUUAAAAAAAGCCACUGUGGUGUGUCAAAGUGAAGGAAGUUGUAUUUUAAAAUAACCGGCAUAAAGAAGCUGCGUGUGCUAAUACAGGGGAUCCUUUCAUGCAAUUGCCAUAACUUCAGUAGUUUUUCCCAUGGAACAAAUACAGAUUAUAGGCAGGAAUUGUUAUAUUUACACUUUAGCUAGUACUGAAAGGGCUUUCACAUUGAAUACUCUUUUUUUUUUUUUAAUAUUACUUUUACUCAUGUCCCCAACAUUUCAAGAAGUAGCUGGCAGGAUUUGUCUUGGAAAAGGAGCACAGCGCAAAAGCAGAAUUGCCUUCGCAGGAAUGAAGCCAGAGUUCAAAUCUCUGGCAAACAGCUUGCUGCAAGCUCAAGUUAUUUUGUUUGGAGAAAUCUAAAAAGGUUAAGCCAACUAACACCAUGAAACAAAUGGAUCAGAGGUAUUUGAGCUCUGGAAAGUCAAACUAUUAAAUAAAUUGUAAGUUCAUACUGUGCA